GCCGACUUAGCUCAGCCGGUAGAGCAGCUGUUUCGUAAACAGCAGGUCUGGGGUUCGAGUCCCCAAGUCGGCUCCA
rnacentral:tRNA from 1 species